rnacentral:rRNA from 1 species
UACGUAGGGGGCGAGCGUUGUCCGGAUUUACUGGGCGUAAAGCGCGCGUAGGCGGAUGUGUAAGUGUGGCCUGAAAGCCCCCGGCUCAACCGGGGAGGGUGGCUGCAAACUGCGCUUCUUGAGGGCGAUAGAGGAGUGUGGAAUUCCUGGUGUAGCGGUGAAAUGCGUAGAUAUCUGGAGGAAUACCGGUGGCGAAGGCGGCAUCCUGGACCGGCAUUGACGCUGAGGCGCGAAAGCUAGGGGAGCAAACGGG